rfam:Erinaceus europaeus unplaced genomic scaffold scaffold00895, whole genome shotgun sequence
GUGUUUGCUUCGGCAGCACAUAUACUAAAAUUGGAAUGAUACAGAGAAAAUUAGCAUGGCCCCUGUGCAAGGAUGACAUGCAAAUUCAUGAGCAUUCCAUACUUAAA